rnacentral:rRNA from 1 species
GACGAACGCUGGCGGCGUGCUUAACACAUGCAAGUCGAACGAUGAACCAGGGCUUGCCCUGGGGAUUAGUGGCGAACGGGUGAGUAACACGUGGGCAACCUGCCCCAGACACCGGGAUAACCUCCCGAAAGAGUGGCUAAUACCGGAUACGACCACUUUGGGCAUCCAACGGUGGUGGAAAGGAUUCUGGUCUGGGAUGGGCCCGCGGCCUAUCAGCUUGUUGGUGGGGUAAUGGCCUACCAAGGCGACGACGGGUAGCCGGCCUGAGAGGGCGACCGGCCACACUGGGACUGAGACACGGCCCAGACUCCUACGGGAGGCAGCAGUGGGGAAUAUUGCGCAAUGGGCGAAAGCCUGACGCAGCGACGCCGCGUGAGGGACGACGGUCUUCGGAUUGUAAACCUCUUUCAGCAGGGACGAAGCGAAAGUGACUGUACCUGCAGAGGAAGCACCGGCUAACUACGUGCCAGCCGCCGCCGUAACAC